rnacentral:rRNA from 1 species
ACACGACUACAUUAGAUACCCCCGUAGUCCCAGCCGUAAACUAUGCUCGCUAGGUGUCAGGGACGGUGCGACCGUUUCUGGUGCCGCAGGGAAGCCGUGAAGCGAGCCACCUGGGAAGUACGGUCGCAAGGCUGAAACUUAAAGGAAUUGCGGGGGAGCACCACAACGGGUGGAGCCUGCGGUUUAAUUGGACUCAACGCCGGGAAGCUCACCGGAUAAGACAGCGGAAUGAUUGCCGGGCUGAAGACCCUGCAUGACCAGCUG